UUGAUUAGAUACCCUGUUAUUUUUUAUUUAAAAUUAUAGUACCUGAGUAGUAACUAGUUAUGUUCUUGAAACUUAAAGAAUUUGGCGGUAGAUUAGUCUUUUUAGAGGAACUUGUUCUGUAAACGAUAACCCCCGAAAUAUCUUACCUUUUCUUGUUUAAUCAGUUUGUAUACCGUCAUUAUUAGAUAACAUUAAAAAAUUAGUUAUUGAAAGAGUAUCGUGUAUUAAUAUAUUAGAUCAAGGUGCAGCUUAUGAAAAGGAAGAAAUGAGUUACAUUAAAAUUAGUUUAAAUGAAUAAAAAAUAGAAUGUUUUUUUGAAGGUGGAUUUAACAGUAAUGUUGAAAUAAUAAGUCAUCAUGAAUUUAGCUCUAAUCUAUGCACACAUCGCCCGUCG
rnacentral:rRNA from 1 species